AGAGUUUGAUCAUGGCUCAGAUUGAACGCUGGCGGCAAGCCUAACACAUGCAAGUCGAACGAAACCAUUGAGAGCUUGUUCUCGGGUGACGAGUGUAGUGCGGGUGAGUAAUGUCUGGGAAACUGCCUGGUGGAGGGGGAUAACUACUGGAAACGGUAGCUAAUACCGGAUAGCGUCUCAAGACCAAAGAGGGGGACCUUCGGGCCUCUUGCCAUCAAAUGUGCCCAGAUGGAAUUAGCUCGUAGGUGGGGUAAUGGCUCACCUAGGCAACGAUCCCUAGCUGGUCUGAGAGGAUGACCAGCCACUCUGGAACUGAUACACGGUCCAGACUCCUACGGGAGGCAGCAGUGGGGAAUAUUGCACAAUGGGCGCAAGCCUGAUGCAGCCAUGCCGCGUGUAUGAAGAAGGCCUUCGGGUUGUAAAGUACUUUCAGCGGGGAGGAAGGUGUUGUGGUUAAUAACCACAGCAAUUGACGUUACCCGCAGAGGAAGCACCGGCUA
rnacentral:rRNA from 1 species